UAUGGUAUGGGCACGGGACGUUUGCGCUUUUUUACCUGUAAAACGAUAGGACAUUUGCGCUUCAAAUACUAUGGACAUUUGCGCUUUAUGUUUUGAUUCACCUGUAUUAAAUUGAUUGGACAUUUGCGCUUUUUACCUUUGUAUAAGUGAACUUGGAUGUUCCAAAUUUGCAGACUAUCUGCAAAAAUUAUGUGACAAUUGAAUCACGAUUUACUUGACUCAUCCUGCUAUGUUUAUCUUGUUGAAGAGUAUCAUUGAACAACACUCAGUGAAUUACAUUUAGAUUCAUUAUAUUGAUGAUCAGGCAUUCCAGUCAAGAACUGAGAAAGAAAAACUUGAUUUUUGUAUUUGAAAUGUGGACAAAAUAUACCAGUCAGAAUAGAUAACAAGAGCUACUUAUUUUGACUCUUUAGGCUUCAGAUAUUAAGCGAAACAUGAACUGUGAUGACUGUUCGUGUUUUAUGUGUUUUAAAAUGUUAACUUUUAGCUGUAUAUAAACUUUUAAACAUUUAAAAAAAUAUGACUUGUCGGUCCCAAGCCAGUAUAAAAGAGGAAGGAAGUCAUAAAAACAAAUAUUGCAAAAGCGCAAAUGUCCUAUGUAAAAAGCACAAAUGUACAUUUUUAAAAAGCGCAAAUGUCCUAUGAUUUGAAGCGCAAGUGUCCAAAAUUAAAAGCGCAAAUGUCCUAUGAUUUGAAGCGCAAGUGUCCAAAAUUAAAAGCGCAAAUGUCCUAUGAAAAAGCGCAAACGUCCCGCGCCG
rnacentral:lncRNA from 1 species